GCUAUAUCUCAUUAAACUAUUGCAAUGGCAUCUUAAUGACACUGUCCUUACCACAGACCUCAGUCUACCCUACCUAUUCUUUUCUUUUUCUACUUGAGCAAACAUUUAUUGAACACCUGUCAAAAGGAAGGCAUGGUGCUAAGUGCUUGGGAAAUACAAAAUGAACACAUGACAGUCCCUUCCCUCAAGGAGCUUCCUGUCUAGAGAGGGAGCUGAAAAAACACAGUGCACAUCAGCUGUGGCAAUACUUGCCAAGAGGCAAGUGUUGAAAGUGAGACACAAAGUGCUGUGGGCCACAUAAAACCAUGAGGCUGUUUCGGGCAGCACUGAGCAGGGCACAGAGAGGACUCAAGGUUGGGCCUGUGAGGAGGGAAGCCCCACUGGAAGCAGGGUGUUAGAAGGAAUAGGAAGUAUACAUGUGGUGGAGCCCACAGUAUGAAACUGAAAUGUACAAAGAAGAAAAGUCACUCAUAGUCUCACUAGCCAGAAGUAAAUUGGUAUUAACAAGGUAAAACAAUAUUAACAAUUAUAUCUAGUUCUUUCUGACCUUCCUUUUUAUUUUACUGUGUAUAUUUUUCUUCUAUUUAUUUUAUAAAUUGUGAUAUUACUAUACACAAAAAUUUGUAUAUUUUUUACAUGAAUAUUAUAGACUAAUCAUGUUGAUGGUUUAUCAAACAGCUCUCAGAAACCUUUGUUAAUUCAACAAGUAUUUAUGUUUUGUUUUGUUUUGUUUUUUGGUGCUGGGGAUUGAACUCGGGUCCUUGUCAACAAGUAUUUAUGAAGUACCUACCAUGCCUCAGGCAUGGGCUCUUUCCAUGGCAUUUUCAAUCAAGUGAAGCACAUUGGACAGGUGUUGGGAGCAGAGAGCACGUGGAAAAUUCUUGCCUGCUUUUCAACAUCCACCCAAGAAGUAAUCAUUGGGCAAAACUGACCACCAGGCCUCAUCUCACUGCAAGGGGGCUGAAGAAUGACAGAAGACAAAGCUCCAGCUGGCAGAGAAAGAUGAAUGUGAGAGAAGGAAAAGUUUUAUCUAAGCCUGGAACCCAAGAAGAGAACCUCUGCCUGCCCAAAUCAGAUCAACACAAAUCUAUAUUUUCAAAAAACCUAAAGCAAGGAAAAUGUUAGCUUUAUAAACUCCACUUUGGAAAAGUUUUAGAACAGACCUUAUUAUAGAGUUCCACUAAGGCACCUGGUAUGGUAUUUCAUAUGGAAUUUGAUUCACAGAACUUUUAAUUUCAUCAGUAAAAUGUUAUUAACAACUCCCAUCUUGUAAGGCAUCAAAAGUUUUUAAAACAUGGUGUCCAAUCAAAAUUACAUCUGUCUGUAGGUUCCUUAAGGUUCUCCAAAUCACUAGGAAUACAGAGGCCCCUGUCUGUUCAAAUCAGGAAAAUGUGAGACCCUUUUCAUAAAGGAGAAACUGACAUUAGAGUAAGAAUUGGAGCCCAGACCUGGGAAGUUGUCAACCCUCUCUAUGGCCAAGAGGAAGAAGUGUGUGGGACCUGGUCAGUUACAGAACUUUUUCAGUUCUGAAUCUCACAUCCUUUCUUCAGUAGGCAUCCAUAGAAGGGAAUUGCUUCUGUGAGCGAGAGGCCAGGGUUCAUUCAAGGAGCAAACUCUCUUCCUCUUUUAUCUUGUCCAGGGAUGCCCAAAGGACCUGCCCUCUGCUGAUAUCUACAAAAGAUGAUAUUUUCAAAAUGUCCAAGAGUCUCUGAUCUGUGUGUUCAGCAGGAUAACCAAGCUACUGCCUAUCAGAGCAGGGGGCCUAACACCCCUUCCAUUACUGGUUGGCUCUGAUUAUCUUGAGGCUGCCAUGCUUUGAAGAAGUCAAACCACAUAGAGAAAUCAUCAGUGUUGGCCCCAGUGCCAAAGGUGUGAGUGAGGAGCCUUCAGACAACUCCAGCCCCCAUCCCCUGCCUGGGAGCCCACUCAGCUGGAGCACCAGAC
rnacentral:lncRNA from 1 species